rnacentral:lncRNA from 1 species
UCAUACCAUUUACUCUUUAUUUCUCUUCUGUAGUUCAGUGUAGUAUAAUAAUAAAUUAGAACCAAAACUACUCUUGAGUUCAUACUAUUUACUCUUGGCGUAACUGGUAAAGUUGCUGCCAUGUGACUGCGAGACCAUGAGUUCGAGCCGUAAAAACAGUCUAAAUUAUAGGGUAAGCUUACGUGCAAUAGACCCUUACAGUCCGGCGCUUCUACGGACCCUACGCAUAGCGGGAAUUUAAUGUACAGAAUUGGCCUAUAGUUCUUGCUCUCUUCUUGCAAAGAGCAAUGUUGACCGCCAAGAAACAUAGUGGGAAUCGAUAAAAUCCUCCACACCUUAACUAAAGGUCUCGUGUUGGAGCCUUGUGAAUAAAAAAACUCCUGGUAAGGGUGCCUAUGCUUAGUAAGCCCUAGACAGCGCGAACUCGAAUUGAUCAAUCUAGUGGUUUUCGGAGUCAAGACUCAAGAAACAUGGCCCUUAAAAAUUUCCUUUUUGUGGUUCAUCUUUUAAAAGGGUUGAAAGGGAGCCUUGGCAUAACUGGUAAAGUUGCUGCCAUGUGACCAGGGGUCACGGUUUCGAGCAUGGAAAUAACCUCUUGUGGAAUUGCAGAACAAGAUUGCGUACAAUAGACUCUUGUGAUCCGGUCCUUUUCAGACCCCGUACAUAGUGGGAGUU